UGCACGCUCCAGUAUAAAGCCCCUACGUCAUCACGCAAUCUGUUCCUUCUAUCUUCUCAUAAUUGAGGAAAAAUCUGAGGGCAGGUCAGUUUGGCUCGCCGCUGGUAGUCUCGUAACCUGAGGGUUGGUGCUUCGGCUAUUCGUCCACCAGGGACUGUGGCAAGCCUUUUACUCUUUCAAGUGUUGUCUGUUUCUUUUGGGAGGACAGCAGUGAUCUCGGCGUUACGAUUCUUAACGCACAGACAGUACCUCGUAAUACGCUAAUUUGCUUAGGUCGCCGUGGCAUUCCUCUGAAUUACUGCAGACAGUGAGUACGCUAAAUUGCUUUGGUUGUUAGCCCAUGUUUAGGGCCGGCGGCUCGCUGCGCUUGUAUUUGUUUUGACCAGCGGUGUUUUCGCCCUGGCAUUCGUAUUGAAUUACGGCAAACAUUAAGUACGCUAAGUUGCUUUAGUUGUUUUUGUUUUGAACGGCGGUGUUCGCCGCAUGUUAUAUUACACGCUACGUUGCUUGACUCUCCUAUUUCGCUGGGUUGUAGCAGCAGUAAGCACGCCAUUAGUUAGAAAUCUUUCUUUAAUGUGUUUUUGAGGCACGCUCCGGUGCAGACAUUGUGACGGAGGAUCUUUUCCUCUCCUUCAGCCCAGGAUCUUUAUACCGGUUGGAAAGGGUAGUUCACCUACGCACAAAUCACGCGACAAUUUCUCCCGUUUUUGGAUAUUUAUUUGGUACACAGAGAAUAGAUAUUGAUUCAGCGCUGAGCCUUCGGUCAGUCCACCUUGGAGGUAAAAAGAACCAAAAGCCCCACUUCAGGGACGUACAGUGAUCUUAUUCUACCUAGACCCCGCCCGUAAGACAAUGGGGAGGAGUACUGCCUCUCAUGUUCUGUGAGCAGCUGUGCGAAGUGAAAGACAACGAUUGAUAUGGUGAGAUAGCGUAAGUAACAUUCUACUUGAUUCUUCCAAAGUUGAUACAUAGGCUGAAGGCCUUAUUAACCCAUUUAAACCCAACCACAUGUUGAACCUUAUUUUUGUGUAGGGCUGCAGCAGAGUGGUUUGACUGUGACUAUCCCUAUUAUUUUUUUGUGCCUUUUCUGGAAACUGUCCCACUUAACGGCAUGUUGAGCUUGCAUGUCUGUAACUCCUGUAUGGCCCGCCUCCAACCUGAGGAUGGCCAUGAUCAGUGUCCGGACUGAAAGUGGUCUCUCUGCAAGACAUCUGUGCUGCAGCAACCUGGGAAUCCUCCUGUACUUUUGCUUGCCAUGGCUGCUCUACCUGCUGUGGCAACGGCUGUUCUGUCAACAGCUUCCACGCCUUAAUGUGGAAUCUCUUUCUAGAGCAAGCAAGUCGCCAUUUGCCAUGUACAUAUGAGCAUCCGUCUUCUAUCCCUCCGAAUGAUGGUAGCAGAUGGAAGAGCGUACAAUGUAGAUGUCUGUAAGCCUGUCCUGUCAGCCACUGCAUCACUUGAGGAACCGACAGAGGUGCCCCAUCGCCUUCUUCAUCAGGGACCAGGAAGCAAGAGCUUGAAGAAGCACUUGUUGACUUCAUCGUGGUGUCUGAUCCUGGGUUCUGGGCAUUUGGUGGCUAAACUGGAUCCUACAUACAUUCUCCCCUCUAGGCAGGCUGUUAAAGCCAUGGUGGAGCAGCAUUAUGUGGAAGAAAAGGAGAAGGCCGAAGCAGCAUUGCUGCACGCUGACAGUGUCCGCCUCACAGCUGAUAUGUGGACCUCCAUGAACAUGGAUAUCUUGCUGUGACAUGCCGCUAUGUCAGUGAGAAUACACUCUCCACCACCCUUCUGGGGGUACACCCUUAUCCAAAGGCUCACACAGCAGAGAAUAUUGCUGGAAUUAGUCGGGAGCUAAUGGAGGAAUGGGCAAUGAAAGAUAAGGUGAGAUGCCUUGUGACUGACACGGCACUGAAUAUGACUUCGACAGGUACACUUCGACAGGAAUUGACCUUUUGAAGUUUCUGGAUAAAGAUGCAGCAGAAGCUAGACAGACAAGAAAUGCAACUGCUGAUGCCAUUGUGGAGGUUCAGAGAUACAUCUCUGAACCUCCACAAUGGAAUCCCACAAUCCCAAGACUCAAUGGAGUUCUGGACAACACAGAAAUCCCUGUACCCAAACCUUUUCUGCUUGGCCAAACAGUUCCUGGCGACACCAGCGUCUUCAGUUCCCUGUGAGAGGGUCUUCUCUAAAGCUGGGGAAAUUGUUUCAAAAAAGAGAAAUCGCCUGAAGCCAUUUACUGUGGAGAAACAUUUAUUUUUUCACAAGCACACCUAGUUUACAGCAAGCACAAUUAAAAAUAUACCGUAAUAUAUUACAUUACAUUAUUAUGUCAUAUUGCUUACUAGACUCUGUACUGUCUAGUGUGUAAUUGGGGAUUUGUAACUAUAAAUCCAACCAGCAGAUGUCAUCCACAUGCUCAAUGAAUGAAGCUUGGGGUAGUGAACCAAUUUUGUAAUACAAUGGUUCAAAAGGGUUCAAAGCUUCACGAGGCCUCAUGUGGCCAUCACUACAAGUUUAUAUUAGACCAAUGAGUAGUCAACCUCCAUGAAUAAACUUAAAUGUUCCGCACACCAUGAUGCUUCCGUCGGGCUCUCUGAUCGAUCCACACACUAACUUGCGCCACUAGUCCCACUCCUGACACAACGAAUUUUACUCCGAUUGUCUCCUGAGUUUGAACAACCAAAAGGCAACACAGGAAUUGAAUAACUGACAGGUAACAGGUUAGGUUACACACUUAAGAUCCCUUUUCCUCCCAGAACACAGAUAUUUUAUAAAUGUAAUGAACUUAAAAACCUAUAUUUAUAUAUUUAUCUUUCAAAUGUAAAUAGUCUUAUAUAUUAAACUGUAUAUCAUAUUUACACAUUAUAUCUGACAUAUUUUAACCAUUUUUAUAUUCUAAACAUUCCUUCUUUUUUUUUUUUUGAUCAUGAAAUGCAACAUUUUAUUGUGGUUUGAAACUUAAUUUUAGGCACUGUAACCUAAAUGAUUUUUAUACAGGGCUAUGAACAAGGAUACAAGGAUAUGAAAUGUUUUGUAUAAACAGAAAAAGCAAACACGGUGGUGGUGUAGCACUGUUUGUGGAUAAGAAUUGCAAUUACAACGUGGUGAAUAAUGUUUUUAAAUGCAUUACACUAGAAAUAUAUAAAGACAAAAAAUCUCAGUUGCUUUUAUAGAUCACCUGUCUGACAUAUGUCUUCAGACUGGACGUGUGAUGACAAGUUGUUAUUCCUUCUAUCCACUAGGUGGCAGCUUAGACCUGUGGUGUACCAAUGUGCUACAGUUACAGUUUUUCUCAGUCGCUUUGGUACAUUUCUCAAAUCAGAAUUGAAAUUCCCAAAACUACCUGUUCAAUCUUCACAUCAUUGUGUCACUUGUGCACAUUAAAAAAGCAGUUUCUCAUUUCUUUGAACAAGUUGCAAAUGCUUUGGUACAUCCAUGCAAAUGAUUAUGUACAAUUCCCUUCUGUUUCCUACAUUAUCAAUUGCUUAUGUCAUGCUGAUCAGAAUGUAUUAUAAUGGGUCUCUGUUGAAUAGUCUCAACCCCACAACAUUUAGGCAUUAGUUCAUAGCAUAAGUCUUUACAUGCAAAAUGGUUGAACACGUUGUCAUAAUAUGUCAAGCAUAUUUCUAUACAUUUCCAAUAUACUUCUUUUCUAAAUCUGUCCUGAAUUGGUAAAUUGCUCCCAGGUGAAUUUUGACUUUCUCUAACGAAUCAAUCAACUGGCAAGUACUGUAUAGCCGGAGCACAACACAAUGUUACAAUUUCUGACAAUGGAAAGACAAAGAAUUGUACGGGGGUCAACAGCCAGAGAGAAGAAAAAGAGGAAGAGGAAGAGGAGGGAGGCUGCGUGGCGGAGGAGUUGGGAGGCAAAACCGAGGAAGAGGCAGAAGACAUGUGCGUUCCUGAUGAGAUAAGAGUCACACUUGUAGACCAUGUUUUCAAUCAUGGGCUUACAAUGGCUGAGGCUGGUCAAAAGCCAAAUGUGCAGUUAUAGGUAUGUAAUCUAACAAUAGGCACUGUACUGUAAUACUGUAUACUUUCUGUAAUGCUUCAUACAAUAUUACAGUAUUCCACUUGCAUUUUACAAUAUAAAGUAAGCAUACUUUACUUAAA